GUAUAUAUGUUGCCAUCUGUAUUUUUCCUGAAAAUUUGCAGCUUGAUCAAUAAUGGUUGACAACACUGGAAAACCUGCUUCGGUAGAAAAUGAGCUUUAGUGGCAAUUCAGCCACGCUACGGAGGGGAAAGCGUUAAGUGGAAUUUGGGUCUUCUCAGCGCAGUCAGGACAUUUAUCUCAGCGCAGCCAUCUCAGUUAUCUCAGCUAUCUCAGCGCAGCCAUGUCAGUUAUCUCAGCUACCUCAGGGCAGCUACCUCAGCGCAGCUAUCUUAGAGCAGCUAUCUAGUUAUCUCAGCUACCUCUGCGCAGCUAUCUCAGCGCAGCCAUCUCAGUUAUCUCAGCUAUCUCAGGGCAGCUACCUCAGCGCAGCUAUCUCAGAGCAGCUAUCUCAGUUAUCUCAGCUACCUCAGGGCAGCCACCUCAGUGCAAUUAUCUCAGCGCAGCUAUCUCAGUUAUCUCAGUAGUUUUCAGCGCAGAAUGUCCGAGCCGUUGUCAGUUCAGAAUGUCUAUGCUCCGCGCAGGAAUAUCGUAAGCCGCGAAAGUUAGACAGGGUUCUUUGAUUGUCUAUGCUCCGCGCAGGAAUAUCGUAAGCCGCGAAAGUUAGACAGGGGUGUACCAUCUUGAGGGCCGCUUCGGCGGGGGUGUACCAUCUUGAGGGCCGCUUCGGCGG
rnacentral:lncRNA from 1 species